rnacentral:rRNA from 1 species
UACAGAGGGGGCAAGCGUUGUUCGGAAUUACGGGGCGUAAAGGGCGCGUAGGUGGCCUUCUAAGUUGAACGUGAAAUCCCUGGGCUCAACCCAGGAACUGCGUCCAAGACUGGGAGGCUUGAAUCCGGGAGAGGGAUGCGGAAUUCCAGGUGUAGCGGUGAAAUGCGUAGAUAUCUGGAGGAACACCGGUGGCGAAGGCGGCAUCCUGGACCGGUAUUGACACUGAGGCGCGAAAGCCAGGGGAGCAAACGGG